GGAACUACUAACCAAUGUCAGAGUUCUUUUCAUUUUUUUCCUUUUAACUACGUUUACAGAAUUGACUACUGAUGCUCAAACAUCGCCAAUACCGAUUACAGAAUUGACUACUGGUGCUCAAACCUCGCCAAUACCGAGCUCUACCAUGACUACUACUAUGACAUCCACAAGUAUGGCAUCCACAUCCACU